UAGGGAGCGGGAGAGGCAGACGGUAUUCAGUGGGUAGGGGUAAAAUCCUCUGAUCCAUCGAGGACCACCAGUGGCGAAGGCGGUCUGCCAGAACGCGUUCGACGGUGAGGGAUGAAAGCUGGGGGAGCAAACCGGAUUAGAUACCCGGGUAGUCCCAGCUGUAAACGAUG
rnacentral:rRNA from 1 species